UCGAUGGAGAGUUUGAUCCUGGCUCAGGACGAACGCUGGCGGCGUGCUUAACACAUGCAAGUCGAACGGUUUAUAAGGGCUUGCCCUUAUAGAUAGUGGCGAACGGGUGCGUAACACGUGAGCAACCUGCCCCAAAGUUUGGAAUAACACCGGGAAACCGAUGCUAAUACCAAAUAUGCUCACACUAUCACAAGAUAGAGUGAGGAAAGUUUUUCGCUUUGGGAGGGGCUCGCGGCCUAUCAGCUUGUUGGUGAGGUAACGGCUCACCAAGGCAUCGACGGGUAGCUGGUCUGAGAGGACGAUCAGCCACACUGGGACUGAGACACGGCCCAGACUCCUACGGGAGGCAGCAGUGGGGAAUAUUGCGCAAUGGGCGAAAGCCUGACGCAGCAACGCCGCGUGGAGGAUGAAGGCCUUAGGGUCGUAAACUCCUUUCAGCAGGAACGAAAAUGACGGUACCUGCAGAAGAAGCUCCGGCCAACUACGUGCCAGCAGCCGCGGUAAUACGUAGGGAGCAAGCGUUGUCCGGAUUUAUU
rnacentral:ncRNA from 1 species